CAAACGCUGAUUUGCUGUAAAGCCUGUUUAUGGUUCCGCGUUAAAUCGACGCAUCGCCUCCGCGCAUCGCCGCGUAUCCUACGCCGUAGGCCCUGCGUUGGUGUAACGCGGAACCAUAAAUCAGCCUUAACAGAGCCAAUUUGCCGACUCGGCAAAUUUGCGGCCAUGAAAGAGAUGAGCGCUAAACUUUAAAAGAGGACUAAGCAUGUACAAAGUUUUAUGGAAGAGUCAACUACCAUUGGUUUUGGUGUUGCGUUGAUUGCAGAUUCUGCCUCAUCUCUGUGGCUCUGGUCGGAGGAAGACGCCUGGACCGAAUCUAACAGAGGCCCUGAAAUCACAAAACAGGAAGCGACUGGAUUCACCUUUUGAGUGGAACAGGCUGAUGGAAGGACCUACUUAACCAGCUGCUGUCUGCUGCCCAGAGGGAGAGAGAUCAGUGUGCAGCCACAUGCAUGUGGUGCAGUACUUUAAGUUCUCAUGAGUUGAGUUUUGUUCAGGUCAGGCUUCCCAACAUUUGGUGGCAGUUGGUGGGUCCCAGGCCAAUAGGAGGCAGUGAAGAUGUAAACAAGAAACCAGAAGAAACAUCAGUGUCUACCAGAAUCGUCACAAGAUGUCUGUGACCAGCAAGGGGCAGCAGGUGGUCAACCUCGGGAGCAAAGUACGGCAGAACUGUCCAAUCUUUUGUGAUGCUUAAUGCAACAGCAGAAUAUUGAAAAGGCCUCAAAAUUAAAAACUUGAGUGUCUCCAAGAACCAAAAAAUAUAUAAGUAUAAUAAAUAAAAUCCCAGUGUCUUUAAAUUAAGGUUCUAGCUUUUUUGUUGAUGACGUGUUGUAAAAAUAAUAAAUAAUCUCAAGUACAACUAUAAUGUGUCUCAAUAGGAAAAGUAAUGUGAGAUUGUUUCAUUAAAUCAGUGUUUCUCAAUCCUGGUCCCCGUGGGCCCCUGUCCUGCAUGUUUUAGAUGUUUCCCUGCACCAACACACCUGAUUCUAAUUAAAGGUCCUCAUUAGCUUGUCACCAAGGUCUGCACAACUCUGUUGAUGACACAGGUACUUUUAUCACGGUGUGUUGAAGCAGGGUAGCAUGCAUUAAAUCCUGAGUUUGUCGUGGACGACAAACAGAGAAUUAGAGGUGAAAAUGCUCUCAGGUAAAUCUUUUUUUUUUUUUUUUAAACCAUUUUUGUUUAUUGACUAAUUAUUUGAGUUGCUUU